rnacentral:rRNA from 1 species
AUUGAACGCUGGCGGCAGGCCUAACACAUGCAAGUCGAACGAGUGGCGGACGGGUGAGUAAUGUCUGGGAAACUGCCCGAUGGCGGGGGAUAAAUACUGGAAACGGUAGCUAAUACCGCAUACCAUCGGAUGUGCCCAGAUGGGAUUAGCUAGUAGGUGGGGUAACGGCUCACCUAGGCGAAGAUCCCUAGCUGGUCGGAGAGGAUGACCAGCCACACUGGAAUUGAGACACGGUCCAGACUCCUACGGGAGGCAGCAGUGGGUAAUAUUGCAAAAUGGGCGCAAGCCUGAUGCAGCCAUGCCGCGUGUAUGAAGAAGGCCUUCGGGUUGUAAAGUACUUUCAGCUGGGAGGCGUUACCCGCAGAAGAAGCACCGGCUAACUCCGUGCCAGCAGCCGCGGUAAUAC